rnacentral:rRNA from 1 species
ACGUAGGGUGCGAGCGUUAAUCGGAAUUACUGGGCGUAAAGCGUGCGCAGGCGGUUCGCUAAGACAGGUGUGAAAUCCCCGGGCUUAACCUGGGAAUGGCGCUUGCGACUGGCGGGCUGGAGUACGGCAGAGGGGGGUGGAAUUCCACGUGUAGCAGUGAAAUGCGCAGAGAUGUGGAGGAACACCGAUGGCGAAGGCAGCCCCCUGGGACAUGACUGACGCUCAGGUACGAAAGCGUGGGGAGCAAACAG